rnacentral:rRNA from 1 species
AUUGAACGCUGGCGGCAGGCCUAACACAUGCAAGUCGAGCGGAGCGGCGGACGGGGGAGUAAUGCCUAGGAAUCUGCCUGGUAGUGGGGGAUCACGUCCUGAAACGGGCGCUAAUACCGCAUGCGUUCAGACAAGUCUAGGUCGGAUUAGCUAGUUUGUGGGGUAAAGGCCUACAAAGGCGACGAUCCGUAACUGGUGUGAGAGGAUGAUCAGUCACACUGGAACUGAGACACGGUCCAGACGCCUACGGGAGGCAGCAGUGGGGAAUAUUGGACAAUGGGCGAAAGCCUGAUCCAGCCAGGCCGCGUGUGUGAAGAAGGUCUUCGGAUUGUAAAGCACUGUAAGUUGGGAGGCGUUACCAACAGAAUAAGCACCGGCUAACUUCGUGCCAGCAGCCGCGGUAAUUC